CCUACGGGUGGCUGCAGUGGGGAAUAUUGGGCAAUGGGCGAAAGCCUGAUCCAGCCAUGCCGCGUGUGUGAAGAAGGCCUUCGGGUUGUAAAGCACUUUCAGUGGGGAAGAAAGCCUUGGGGCUAAUACCCUCGAGGAAGGACAUCACCCACAGAAGAAGCACCGGCUAACUCCGUGCCAGCAGCCGCGGUAAUACGGAGGGUGCGAGCGUUAAUCGGAAUUACUGGGCGUAAAGCGCGCGUAGGCGGUCUGAUAAGCCGGUUGUGAAAGCCCCGGGCUCAACCUGGGAACGGCAUCCGGAACUGUCAGGCUAGAGUGCAGGAGAGGAAGGUAGAAUUCCCGGUGUAGCGGUGAAAUGCGUAGAGAUCGGGAGGAAUACCAGUGGCGAAGGCGGCCUUCUGGACUGACACUGACGCUGAGGUGCGAAAGCGUGGGUAGCAAACAGGAUUAGAUACCCCAGUAGUC
rnacentral:rRNA from 1 species